GAAGAGAAGACUUCUUUUCUCGAUUUCUUCUCGUUCACACACUGGCAUCGGGUGAUAAAGUUGUUUCUGUAUAUUUUGCACGCCUUGCAUCAUCUAAGUUUGUUUCUAAAUUGUUGUAAAAUUUAGUGAGUGUACGUUAGUUGUGGACCAGCCUAUUUGUCUCACUUAUAUAAUAAAAAAGACGAAUCUAGGAUUGUGAUUUUUAGUGACUUUGGUGUUUUACAAAUUCUUUUUGGUUAGCCGGUAGGAUAUUAGGAUGGCCCAAUCAAAAUUUACUGAUAUGGCUAAUCGAUUAGGAAAUAAUCCAAAGGGCUUAGGGACUGGCUUGAAAAUACUUGCUGCUGCUGGUGCAGCAGUGUAUGGAAUAAGUCAGUCAAUGUUCACAGUUGAAGGUGGUCACAGAGCUAUCAUAUUCAGCAGGUUAGGUGGUAUCCAGAACGACAUCUAUACAGAAGGACUACAUUUUAGGAUACCAUGGUUCCAGUAUCCAAUCAUUUACGAUAUCAGGUCCAGGCCAAGGAAAAUUUCUUCUCCCACUGGCUCAAAAGAUUUACAGAUGGUAUCAAUAGGUCUCCGAGUCCUGUCACGACCAAACGCUUCCAAGCUCCCAGAGAUGUAUCGACAGUUAGGUCUGGACUACGAUGAGAAAGUGUUGCCGUCAAUCUGUAACGAAGUCCUUAAAUCAGUCGUUGCCAAAUUCAAUGCCUCACAGUUAAUAACAAUGAGACAACAGGUAUCAUUGAAAGUGAGACAAGAGCUGAUAGAGAGAGCCCAAGACUUCAACAUCAUUCUAGAUGAUGUUUCCAUCACAGAACUGAGCUUCGGCAAGGAGUACACAGCUGCAGUAGAGGCCAAACAGGUAGCUCAACAAGAAGCGCAGAGGGCAGUCUUCGUAGUCGAGAGAGCAAAACAAGAAAGACAACAAAAAAUUUUCCAAGCUGAGGGUGAAGCAGAAGCUGCCAAGAUGUUGGGUAUAGCUGUUGGACAGAACCCUGGUUACCUGAAACUGAGGAAAAUCAGAGCAGCUCAGAGCAUUUCUCGAACGAUUGCCAACUCCCAGAACAAGGUCUACCUCAGUGGAUCUGCUCUUAUGUUGAACAUCAACGACCCUGCUUUUGACGACCUCAGUGAGAAGCUUAAAAAUUCCGUUUUACAAUAGAAAUUCUCAUGUACUUGAACAUUUUCAAACAGUGGAUUAUAGUGUCUGCGGAGAGAGAGAGAGCUGUGUAAAAAGAUGUAAUUAAGAUGAAACAGCAUGUCUCACCAAAACGCAAUGGACAAAAAUCCACACCGUUUUUAAUACUGCUGAGUUGUGUAUAAUAAAAAAUUCCGUAAUGAUUUUUGCA
rnacentral:misc_RNA from 1 species